rnacentral:rRNA from 1 species
ACGGGAGGCAGCAGUGAGGAAUAUUGGUCAAUGGGCGGAAGCCUGAACCAGCCAAGUAGCGUGCAGGAUGACGGCCCUACGGGUUGUAAACUGCUUUUGCGCAGGGAUAAAACAUGCCUCGUGAGGCAUCUUGCAGGUACUGCGUGAAUAAGGACCGGCUAAUUCCGUGCCAGCAGCCGCGGUAAUACGGAAGGUCCGAGCGUUAUCCGGAUUUAUUGGGUUUAAAGGGAGCGCAGGCGGGAUUCUAAGCCAGCCGUCAAAUCGUGGGGCUCAACCCCAUCCAGCGGUUGGAACUGGCAUCCUUGAGUGCGGGAGAGGAAGGCGGAACUCGUGGUGUAGCGGUGAAAUGCAUAGAUAUCACGAAGAACUCCGAUUGCGAAGGCAGCCUUCUGGCCCGUUACUGACGCUCAUGCUCGAAGGCGCGGGUAUCAAACAGGAUUAGAUACCCUGGUA